AUAAAUAAAUUAUUAAGAGCACUUGAUGGAUGCCUUGGCGUUAAGAGGCGAUGAAGGACGUGGCAGGCUGCGAUAAGCUGUGGGAAAUUGUCAACAAAUUUUGAUCCGCAGAUUUCCGAAUGGGGAAACCCAACUAGCUUAGCUAGUUAUUAUAUACUAAGUAUAUAAAGCAAACUUGGUGAACUGAAAUAUCUAAGUAGCCAAAGGAAAAGAAAUCAACCGAGAUUCUGUUAGUAGUGACGAGCGAAAGCGGAAAAGGCUAGUGAUUUAAAAAUAAGAAUUAGAAUACUCUGGAAAUGGUAACCAUAGAAGGUGAUAGUCCUGUAUAAAUAGAAAGUUUUUAAAUCCUUGAGUAGAGCGGGGCACGUGAAAUCCUGUUUGAAUAUGGGGGGACCAUCCUCCAAGCCUAAAUACUCCUUAACGACCGAUAGUGAACAAGUACCGUGAGGGAAAGGUGAAAAGAACCCCGGGAGGGGAGUGAAAUAGAAUCUGAAAUCAAGUGCUUACAAACAGUUGGAGCUCUAUAUCAAUUUAUUGAUAUCUAGAGUGACAGCGUACCUUUUGCAUAAUGGGUCAGCGAGUUAAUCUAUAAAGCAAGCUUAAGCCGUUAGGUGUAGGCGUAGCGAAAGCAAGUCUGAAUAGGGCGUUUAGUUUUAUGGAUUAGACCCGAAACCAAGUGAUCUAGUCAUGACCAGAUUGAAGGUAUGGUAAAACAUACUGAAGGAUCGAACCAGUUAAUGUUGCAACAUUAUUGGAUGAGUUGUGAUUAGGGGUGAAAGGCCAAUCAAACUUGGAAAUAGCUGGUUCUCCGCGAAAUCUAUUUAGGUAGAGCGUUGUAUUUAUGUUGUUGGGGGUAGAGCACUGGAUAGACUAGGGGGAUUCAUCAUCUUACCAAAUCUAACCAAACUCCGAAUACCAAUAAUUAAUUAUACAGCAGACACACUAUGGGUGCUAAGUCCGUGGUGGAAAGGGAAACAGCCCAGAUCACUAUCUAAGGUCCCAAAAUUACAGCUAAGUGGGAAAGGAAGUAGAAAAACCAUUACAGCUAGGAGGUUGGCUUGGAAGCAGCCAUCCUUUAAAGAAAGCGUAACAGCUCACUUGUCUAAAUAAGUUUUUCUGCGCCGAAAAUGUACCGGGGCUAAAGCUGUAUACCGAAGAUGUGGGUGCUUAUUGAUUUCGAUUAGUAGGCGCGGUAGCGGAGCGUUCCGUAAGUUUGUGAAGGUGGUUUGUGAAAACUGCUG
rnacentral:rRNA from 1 species